rnacentral:rRNA from 1 species
UACGUAGGUGACAAGCGUUGUCCGGAUUUACUGGGCGUAAAGGGCGCGUAGGCGGUUCGUUAAGUCCUGUGUGAAAUCCCCCGGCUCAACUGGGGAACUGCACAGGAAACUAGCGGGCUUGAGUUCGGGAGAGGGAAGCGGAAUUCCGGGUGGUAGCGGUGAAAUGCGUAGAUAUCUGGAGGAACACCGGUGGCGAAGGCGGCAUCCUGGACCGACAUUGACGCUGAGGGGCGAAAGCUAGGGGAGCAAACGGG